rnacentral:tRNA from 1 species
GGGUGCGUCGCAUAGCGGCAAUUGCAUUGGGCUGUAAACCCAACGUCUUAAUUGACUACGUAGGUUCGAGUCCUACCGCACCCACUA